rnacentral:lncRNA from 1 species
CCGGAGGGAGUUGUAAGGGGAGUAAAUGCGCCGUGGGGCCGGGGGUGGCACCGGGAGUAUCACGCCAGGAGGAUGGCGCCAAGAGGCCAGGCGUGCGGUGCACCAGGGAGAAGAAGGAGGAAAGGGAAGAAGGAAGGAGGAAGGAGAAGGAAGAAGAAAGAGAGAAAGAAAGAAAAGGAAAAAGGAGAAAGAAUGGGAGGGAAGAAGAUUUUAGAUUUCCGGGAGCUCAACGGUAAAAAGAUUUUGAAAGUGAUUUUUUAACGGGUGAUUUUAGUUGGUGAUUUUUGCGGAUGCUACAAACCUACCCCACUUAAAUUGAAUCUCGUCCUCGAGAUUCGGCUGAGUCCUGAAAAGAUGCGGAAAUUCCUUCUUUAACGCGUCCUCGCGUUCCCACGUGGCUUCUUCUUCGCCAUGCCUACUCCAUUGCACUCUG